CCCUUAGAUGUUCUGGGCCGCACGCGCGCUACACUGAUGCAUUCAACGAGCCUAUCCUUGACCGACAGGUCCGGGUAAUCUUUGAAUCUGCAUCGUGACGGGGAUAGAUUAUUGCAAUUAUUAAUCUUGAACGAGGAAUUCCUAGUAAACGCAAGUCAUCAGCUUGCAUUGAUUACGUCCCUGCCCUUUGUACACACCGCCCGUCGCACCUACUGAUUGAAUGACUCGGUGAAAAAUCGGGACUGCGAGAACAAUCGAUUAAUUUCGAAUGUACUUGUGGGAACUUUUUUUAACCUCGCCAUUUAGAAGAAGGUGAAGUCGUAACA
rnacentral:rRNA from 1 species